AGAGCGAACGCUGGCGGCAGGCCUAACACAUGCAAGUCGAGCGCGUGUUGCAAUACACGAGCGGCAGACGGGAGAGUAACACGUGGGAACGCGCCCUUCGGUUCGGAAUAACUCAGGGAAACUUGAGCUAAUACCGGAUACGCCCUUACGGGGAAAGAUUUAUUGCCGAAGGAACGGCCCGCGUCCGAUUAGCUAGUUGGUGAGGUAACGGCUCACCAAGGCGACGAUCGGUAGCUGGUCUGAGAGGAUGACCAGCCUCACUGGGACUGAGACACGGCCCAGACUCCUACGGGAGGCAGCAGUGGGGAAUAUUGGACAAUGGGCGCAAGCCUGAUCCAGCCAUGCCGCGUGGAUGAUGAAGGCCUUAGGGUUGUAAAGUCCUUUUAACGGGGAAGAUAAUGACGGUACCCGUAGAAUAAGCCCGGCUAACUUCGUGCCAGCAGCCGC
rnacentral:rRNA from 1 species